rnacentral:rRNA from 1 species
CAUAGGCAUGUGCACGCCCGAGCUCGUUUCAUCCACCAACACCUGUGAACCUGAAGUGGAUCUCCACGAAGUGGGUGAUCCAUGCACUUCAUCAGCCACGUAUGUCUUUGAAUGUAAUAUAGAAAGGCCUCUUUUGAGGCAUAAUCUACAUAACUUUCAACAACGGAUCUCUUGGCUCUCGCAUCGAUGAAGAACGCAGCGAAAUGCGAUAAGUAAUGUGAAUUGCAGAUUUUCAGUGAAUCAUCGAAUCUUUGAACGCACCUUGCGCUCCUUGGUAUUCCGAGGAGCAUGCCUGUUUGAGUGUCAUUGAACCAUCAACCUCUGGUCGAUUUUUUGAUCGAUGGAGGCUUGGACAUUGGAGUGUGCUGGCCUGAUCAAGGUCGGCUCCUCUCAAAUGCAUCAGCAGAAGCUUUGGGCCUUUGUUGCUCCCCUGUCUUUUGGUGUUCGGUGUGAUAGCCAUCUCGCCGUCACCGUGCAAGGGGGUUGGACCUGGCAUUUUCUGCUCACAAUGGUCCCUGUGGACAAACUUCUAUCCGUUUUGACCUCAAAUCAGGUAGGACUACCCGCUGAACUUAAGCAUAUCAAUAAGCGGAGGAAAAGAAACUAACAAGGAUUCCCCUAGUAACUGCGAGUGAAGCGGGAAAAGCUCAAAUUUGAAAUCUGGCGGUCUCUGGCCGUCCGAGU